CUCAGACAUAAAAUGUGUAAGGGCAGAGACCGUGGGAGGAAGAGAAAGAUCAUCGCUGGGGCUCCCAAGCGCUAAUGAAUUAACAGGGAAACGGUGUUAAUGAGUUCCGAGGAGGGGUUGUUGUCAGAGGUUUCGAGAUGUUUGUGGGCAUCACCAAAAUCAAGGAUGUGAAAUGAUCUUUUAAACUCCAGAGGUCUCUGGAAAACUGGGAACACUGGUUGUCCAAGCCCCACAACAUUCGAUGUGUCUCCCGAUCACCAAGGCUUUCUCCAGCACAUCUCUUGUUUCUUUCCUUAAAAACCUGCUCAGCAACCACAGCAUGCCAGAGUCCAUGCUGGGAGUGUGACGUUGGAGACCAAAGCCAGAAGUAGUCUCAAGGAGCUUUCAGCCCAGAAGGGAGGCUAAUACUUGGCAAUGACCUCUCUUAUGGACCUUGGUCAUUAUGGAUAAUUGUCCUGUCUCAGUGCCUAUUUCACUUGGUCACCUUCCUUAACAUCCAGAUGAAUGUCUCUCUUUAAAUUUCUGUCUUGUCUUUGAAAACUUCCCCAGUUGCACAAAGACCAGAAAACCAGCCUCACCCUUGAGUCCUUGGUGGAUGCUGUGUAAACCUCCAUGGAAGUGCUCUCCCAUUUUACUGUCUUUGUCUCGUUGUCUGCUUGUUGUGCAGAGUGGCUUAUCUACACCAAGAGAACAGAUCUCAUGGCCUGGACUAGAGCAGAUAUAAUACUUGGGAGCAUUACAGCAAGUGAGGAAGCAGCUGAACCAAUCUUGUGACCCAGAUUGGAAACCAGGAAGUCCAAGCCAGUCAGUGGACAAAGAAACUGAGGCUCAUAAAACUAAAAGGUUACUUCUCCAAGGUUGCACAGGAUUGUAGUGAGAGAGGUUGUGUUUGAAUCCAGAGUGUUUGGACUCCAUAGUCCACAGUCUUUCACACGAGGCUGUACUGCAUU